GUAGAAAUAGUGUAAUUCAAAACAUUAGAUUGUGAUUCUGAAGAUAAAGGUUAAAUUCCUUUUUUCCACC
rnacentral:tRNA from 1 species